rnacentral:rRNA from 1 species
GACCGAGGGGGCAAGCGUUGCUCGGAAUUACUGGGCGUAAAGGGCGCGUAGGCGGGCUGGCAAGUCGGUCGUGAAAUCCUUCGGCUCAACCGAAGAACGUCGAUCGAUACUGCUGUUCUUGAGGGUUGCAGAGGAGACUGGAAUUCCCGGUGUAGCGGUGAAAUGUGUAGAGAUCGGGAGGAACACCGGUGGCGAAGGCGGGUCUCUGGGCAAUUCCUGACGCUGAGGCGCGAAAGCGUGGGGAGCAAACGGG